rnacentral:rRNA from 1 species
UACAGAGGGAGCUAGCGUUGUUCGGAAUUACUGGGCGUAAAGCGCACGUAGGCGGCGAUUCAAGUCAGAGGUGAAAGCCCGGGGCUCAACCCCGGAACUGCCUUUGAAACUAGAUUGCUAGAAUCCUGGAGAGGUUAGUGGAAUUCCGAGUGUAGAGGUGAAAUUCGUAGAUAUUCGGAAGAACACCAGUGGCGAAGGCGACUAACUGGACAGGUAUUGACGCUGAGGUGCGAAAGCGUGGGGAGCAAACAGG